rnacentral:lncRNA from 10 species
AAAUGUGGUCUGCUCUGCCUCAGGCUGGCUGUGACCUUGAGCUGGUGAUGUCCCUGCCUCAGUUUCCUCACCUUCUGAUGGAGAUGGGAGGGGAAGAAAGCAGCUGCCUCUGGGUGGUGGCAGAGAUGCCCAUGUCUAGGACCUCCAGGCCUUAACUAAUCAGGGGCACUGAUGAAGCCAGCGGGGCUCCACUGGGGACCACAGGCAAGACUGGGCCAGGACGAGGCGGUCACGCAGAGAAAGAAGAUAAAAGGGAACAGAAGAGAAAAUUCAAAAGUCCCUAGAGCGUCCAAGAUUUUUGGUUUCAAACCAAUUUCCUGCUGACCAGAAUGAAAUGGAGCCACAUUCCAGCACGAUGCACCUGCUGACCUCCUGCAAGUCAGGGACCUUCUCUGCCCCUCUUUUGCUCUGCUGCAGGAGGGAGAAGCUGGGAAUGUGUUCCUCUGGGGUCCCAUCACCUCCAGCCAGCCACUGUCCCUGUCUCCCCAAAACCUCCUCGUUGUCCCUCCUCUGUCCUCCUCCUCCUCCAUCUGCCUUCGCCCUGCUCUCCUCUUUUUCGCCUGAGG